rnacentral:rRNA from 1 species
GUGAGGAAUAUUGGUCAAUGGGCUAAGGCCUGAACCAGCCAAGUCGCGUGAGGGAAGACGGUCCUAUGGAUUGUAAACCUCUUUUGUCGGGGAGCAACGAGGCCACGUGUGGCCGAAGUGAGAGUACCCGAAGAAAAAGCAUCGGCUAACUCCGUGCCAGCAGCCGCGGUAAUACGGAGGAUGCGAGCGUUAUCCGGAUUUAUUGGGUUUAAAGGGUGCGUAGGCGGAACAUUAAGUCAGCGGUAAAAUCGAGGGGCUCAACCCCUUUAAGCCGUUGAAACUGGUGAUCUUGAGUGGGCGAGAAGUAUGCGGAAUGCGUGGUGUAGCGGUGAAAUGCAUAGAUAUCACGCAGAACUCCGAUUGCGAAGGCAGCAUACCGGCGCCCGACUGACGCUGAGGCACGAAAGCGUGGGGAUCGAACAGG